UACCAGCACCCCGAGUGGUCGGGACGUUUAUUGGGCCUAAAGCAUCCGUAGCCGGUUCUACAAGUCUUCCGUUAAAUCCAGCUGCUUAACAGAUGGGCUGCGGAAGAUACUAUGGAGCUAGGAGGCGGGAGAGGCAAGCGGUACUCGAUGGGUAGGGGUAAAAUCCGUUGAUCCAUUGAAGACCACCAGUGGCGAAGGCGGCUUGCCAGAAUGCGCUCGACGGUGAGGGAUGAAAGCUGGGGGAGCAAACCGGG
rnacentral:rRNA from 1 species